GCGAGGUCAAAUCUGGGGCCACGCCCCCAGUCCUGUGGCGCAACUCCCCGAACACGGAAAAAAAGACGCAGUGGGGGUUCUGCUGUGUUUGCGAGUGAGGGUUGUGAGUGCAACGGGCGCAAGGCAUAAAAGCCAGUGUGUUAGUGCGCGGGCAGGCUCGCGUGACCCUGGGGUUGCUGUGUGAGCGGCCCUCGUGGCGCGGGAGGUGAUGCGUUUGCGCAGGCGUGCGCCCCUGGCGUCGGGACUGGGACUCCGGAUUUCUGUGGCGACUGAGGCGCUCUUACCUUUGCGUCCUGAUCUCCAAGCAAGCACACUGACCUUCAGGCAAAUACGCACUGUUAAUUUUCCAGAAAGUUCUGUGGCCUCAAAAUACAUUAGAAAUAUCUUGUUCCCUGCUUUGGCUAAUGUUGACUGGAGUGUCAAGAAGAGUGCAGGAAAGCAAACCAAGCUGGAGUGAAGUGGCACGAUCUCAGCUCACUGCGAUCUCAGCUCACUGCAAUCUCAGCUCACUGCAAUCUCCGCCCUCCCCUCCCCCCAACCCCAACCCUGGUUCAAGCAAUUCUCCCAUGUCAGCCUCUCGAAUAGCUGGGAUUACAGGGAUGCGCCACCAUGCCUGGCUAAUUUUUCUAUUUUUUAGUAGAGAUGGGGUUUCACCAUGUUGGCCAGGCUGGUCUCAAACUCCUGACCUCAGAUGAUCCACCCGCCUUGCCUCCCAAAGUGCUGGGAUUACAGGCGUGAGCCACUGCACCCAGCCAUAUGUCUAAAUCUCUUCCAUGUGUGUUGAAGUUAUCAGGGUGGUGAGGAAACAGUUGUUAAAAACCUGUUAUGGGCCACACACUGUAUACACCCAUUAAUCUCAACAAUAGGCCUGCAAAUUGGGUGAUAUCAUCAUUAUUUUAUAGAUAAUGAAAGCGAAUUCUGCAGUGUGUAAUUAUCUAUCUUUGGUCAUAUAACUUGUAAAUAGUGGAGCCUGGAUAAUUCCUGGCAUAUCUGCCCAUAUUAUUUUACUAAGCUUUCUACUUUUUGGCUUUGAAUCUGGUUUAGUUAUUUACUUGUUAAGUGACUUUAUUUAACUUUUCUAAGCCUCAGUGUCACAUAUUAAAUAGGAACAAAUAUUUCUAUUUCAUAAUCUUAGAGCCGCACUAUCCAAUACUGUAGCCGUUAGUCAUAUGUGACUAUUUAAAUUUAAAUGCAGUAAAAUGUAAAAAUGUAGAUCCUCAGUUGCACUAGUCUCAUUCCAGGGGCUCGAUAGCUACUUACAGUUAGUGGCUACCAUAUUAGACAGUGCAGAUACAGAACAUUUCUGCCACCACAGAAAGUUCUACUGGACAGUGCUGAUUUAGAGGAUAUAAGGUAUAUAAAAGGGCCUAAGACGGUGCAUAUCUCAUGGCAGAUGCCCGAGAAAAGUGAUCUCGUCUGCUUUUUUCUUUCAGCAUCAGAGCUAGGGGUGUUCUCCUGUUUUAUUGAUGGGAUUGGGAGAGGGAAGUAACUUACCCAAGUGUGGUAGGGGAUAUGUCUGGCACUGGGACCCACAUCUCCUGACUCUUGCUCUAACAUUCUGUCUAGUAUGCCCAUCCUUAUGCUUUACUCUACUGAGUGAGGUUUCAAGGCCAAGCAUGUGAACAGUGUGAAUUAACUUUGGAGUCAGGGUGGUAGCAGAAAAAGGCAUAGGAACUGAAUGCCUCCUGUGUGCCACACAGCACUGUGCCCAGCUUUUUUACAUCUGUUAUCUUAGCAAAUCCUCAGUGAAGCCCAGAGAAUAAAUACCCCAAGUUGCUCAGCAAGGAAAUGGCAGACCAAGCCCAGGCAUUUUCCCAUUAUGUCAUGCUACUCCCUCAAAUGUGACUACUCCCCUGCCACCUCCACUUACUAGUGGGUCCUCAGAAAAUGGGAAUUACUCCUCUUUUGAAUGUAUAGCUGAACCGCUGUCUUCACAGUCUGUUUCAACUGGAAUGGAAAAAUAGCUUAGGUCAAUGUUUGGCUCCAAGGCCCAAGGCCAGACAGAGAAUAUUUGUGGUCCCAGCCUUCACAGGACAGGCAAUGGCUCUGAGAACCCUGUGUUAAUUUUCAAGGCCACCAUUAGCUCAUACAUUGCUUUUGUGCUGAUUAGAAAAGCAUGCCACCUGGGGGGCAGACAAAUUGUAGCGAAGGGCCCAUUCCAGUGGAACAAUGAGAAAAAUAACUUUUCUUUCUGUAGGCUGUUGCAACCUCACCAGAACAGCUGAAGAAUGAAUUUCAGCCUGGACUCUACCUUAUUAGUUGGGCACCCUUGGGGAGGGUGCAACCUGCCCAACAUUUUCCGCUGGCCCUGUCUUACCUCAUGACUAAGAGAGCCUUUCUAGGUCUGGAAGGUAGCGGUCAGUCUGUUCUGGAGGGUGGAGAGAGACACCAGUGUUUUCCCAUGGUUUCUGGGUAGUAGAUAAAAUUGGUCUAUUCUAAGGUUAAUUUGAUAUUUUAAAAUUUUGGUUCUGACUAGCUUAUUGGAUUUUUUUGAAUAACGUUUGAUUAAUGUAAAGGUUAAAAAUAAAACCUAAUAUUUCAGCUAAGCAAAUGGUGUUUCUUCAAUAAGGAUGUUUUUCUAUCUAUUUAUACCUGCCUCAUUCCAUAGGAAUUUUAUAAAGCCAGUCCAGGAAUGUAGUCUGAAUCAAUCUAGUUUGCUAGCCUGUGAGACCAGGGCAAAGAUGAAAAUAGUCAUGGGAAAGUUUUAUCCUUUUAGGGGUAUCUGUCUUCUUCUAGUUCCUCUCUCCUCCUGUGACACAUCCCCACCCCGAGACUGACCUACCCAUUUGACAGAAAGAGAUUACUUAUUCAAAUGACUCAAAACACUGAGAUCCUGAACCUAAUCAAUAAUGUCCUUGGAUGACCUUGGGAUGCCAGACUCACACAUAAUUCCUUGUUGUGCCCUUCCUGAGUUAAUAGUUUAGCAUACAAUUUACCAAAAUUUGUGGUUUCCUGAGCCACAGACUUCACUUGGAAUGAUCAUAUAAAGUCAUCCAUGCUACACACCAACCCACAGAAAUGAGGACUGCUUUCCUCCAGUGUAUGCUGAGUCCUACAAUCUGAGCACUGCUUCAAGAGGAUGCCUUGAGUCAUUUUUCCAGAGUUAAAUUUGCUUAUGCUUCUAACUUCCACCUACAGUCCCCGUUACACUGGGAAUGAUAAAAACUAUGCCUUUUGAAAAUAUAAGCUGUCAUGUUAUUAAAGAUGACAAACCAGUAUUAAUUAAAGUGCUGCAUCUAAAUUGUUGAAGCUUAAUGCUUGUUACGUGGGAGUUCAUUAUACUGUUUUUCCUACUUUUGUGUAUUUUUGAAGUUUUCCAUAAUAAAACAUUUAAAAAGACAAAAAA